GAAGCUGGAAUCGCUAGUAAUCGCGGAUCAGAAUGCCGCGGUGAAUACGUUCCCGGGUCUUGUACACACCGCCCGUCACACCAUGGGAGUUGGAAGUGCCCGAAGUCAGUGGCCCAACCGUAAAGGGGGAGCUGCCGAAGGCAGGUUCGAUGACUGGGGUGAAGUCGUAACAAGGUACC
rnacentral:rRNA from 1 species